UGGGGAAUUUUACGCAAUGGGGGAAACCCUGACGUAGCGACACCGCGUGAGCGAAGAAGCCCUUUGGGGUGUAAAGCUCUGUCAGCUGGAACGAAAACAAUGACGGUACCAGCAGAGGAAGCAUCGGCUAACUACGUGCAAGCAGCCGCGGUAAGACGUAGGAUGCGAGCGUUGUCCGGAUUUAUUGGGCGUAAAGAGUUCGUAGGUGGUUUGUUAAGUUUGGUGUUAAAGAUCGGGGCUCAACCCUGGGACUGCACUGAAUACUGGCAGACUCGAGUGUGGUAGAGGCUAGUGGAAUUCCCAGUGUAGCGGUGAAAUGCGUAGAUAUUGGGAAGAACACCGGUGGCGUAGGCGACUAGCUGGGCCAUAACUGACGCUGAGGAACGAAAGCCAGGGGAGCGAAUG
rnacentral:rRNA from 1 species